rnacentral:pre_miRNA from 1 species
UUCCUACUCCCUUCGUUUGGAAUUACUUAUCGCGAAAAUGGGUGUAUCUAGACGUGUUUUAGUUUUAGAUAUAUCCAUUUCCGAGACAAGUAAUUCCGAACGGAGGAAGUAUUAG